rnacentral:lncRNA from 1 species
UCCCUACAUCAAUUGCACCAUCAACAACAGCAAUAGACUCAAUAGCAUCCUCAUUUUCGUUGCUCUUUUUCUUCUUUUCAAUUUCAUCACUCCCCACAUCAAUUGCACCAUCAACAACAGCAAUAGCCUCAAUAGCAUCCUCAUUUUCAUUGCUCUUCUUCUUCUUCUUUUUCUUCUUUUCAAUUUCAUCACUCCCUACAUCAAUUGCACCAUCAACAACAGCAAUAGACUCAAUAGCAUCCUCAUUUUCGUUGCUCUUUUUCUUCUUUUCAAUUUCAUCACUCCCCACAUCAAUUGCACCAUCAACAACAGCAAUAGCCUCAAUAGCAUCCUCAUUUCCAUUGCUCUUCUUCUUCUUCUUUUUCUUAUUUUCAAUUUCAUCACUCCCUACAUCAAUUGCACCAUCAACAACAGCAAUAGCCUCAAUAGCCUCCUCAUUCUCUUUGUUCUUCUUCUUCUUCUUCUUCUUUUUCUUCUUUUCAAUUUCAUCACUCCCUGCAUCAAUUGCAUUAUCAACAACAGCAACAGCAAUAUCCUCAAUAGCAUCCUCAUUUUCAUUGCUCUUCUUCUUUUUCUUUUUAUUCUUUUCAAUUUCAUUACUCCCUACAUCAAUUGCACCAUCCACAACAGCAACAGCAAUAGCCUCAAUAGCAUCCUCAUUUUCAUUGCUCUUCUUCUUUUUCUUAUUUUCAUUUUCAUCACUCCCUACAUCAAUUGCACCAUCAACAACAGCAAUAGCCUCAAUAGCAUUCUCAUUUUCAUUGCUCUUCUUCUUUUUCUUCUUUUCAAUUUCAUCACUCCCUAC